CCUACGGGAGGCAGCAGUGGGGGAUAUUGCACAAUGGGGGGAACCCUGAUGCAGCGACGCCGCGUGGGUGAAGAAGCGCCUCGGCGCGUAAAGCCCUGUCAGCAGGGAAGAAAAUGACGGUACCUGAAGAAGAAGCCCCGGCUAACUACGUGCCAGCAGCCGCGGUAAUACGUCGGGGGCAAGCGUUCUCCGGAUUUACUGGGUGUAAAGGGGGCGCAGACGGCGAUGCAAGCCAGGAGUGAAAGCCCGGGGCUCAACCCCGGGACUGCUCUUGGAACUGCGUGGCUGGAGUGCAGGAGGGGCAGGCGGAAUUCCUGGUGUAGCGGUGAAAUGCGUAGAUAUCAGGAGGAACACCGGUGGCGAAGGCGGCAUGCUGGACUGCAACUGACGUUGAGGCCCGAAAGCGUGGGGAGCAAACAGGAUUAGAUACCCCUGUAGUC
rnacentral:rRNA from 1 species